UUGAGAGUUUGAUCCUGGCUCAGAACGAACGCUGGCGGCAGGCUUAACACAUGCAAGUCGAACGAUAUAGUGGCAGACGGGUGAGUAACGCGUGGGAACGUACCCUCUUCUGCGGGAUAGCCAC
rnacentral:rRNA from 1 species